rnacentral:rRNA from 1 species
CCUACGGGAGACAGCAGUGAGGAAUAUUGGUCAAUGGGCUUAAGCCUGAUCCAGCGACGUCGCGUGAGGGAUGACUGCCCUCUGGGUUGUAAACCUCUUCAGUAAGGGAGCAAUUGGCGCUACGUGUAGCGUUAUCGAGAGUUACUGAAGAAAAAGCAUCAGCUAACUCCGUGCCAGGGGCCGCGGUAAUCCGAGGGAGGCGAGCGUUAUCCGGCUUUGUCGGGGUUAAAGGGUGCGUGUGAGGAAUGCCAAGUCAGCGGUAAAAUCGCGGGGCUCAACCUCGCUCCGCCGUUGAAACUGGCGUUCGUGAGUGGGCGAGAAGCAGGCGGAAUGCGUGGUGUAGCGGUGAAAUGCAUAGAGAUCACGCAGAACUCCGAUGGCGAAGGCAGCAUACCGGCGCCUAACUGACGCUGAGGCACGAAAGCGUGGGGAUCGAACAGGAUUAGAUACCCCAGUAGUC